UACGUAGGGGGCGAGCGUUGUCCGGAUUUAUUGGGCGUAAAGAGCGUGUAGGCGGCCAGGUAGGUCUGCUGUGAAAACUCGAGGCUCAACCUCGAGACGUCGGCGGAAACCAUCUGGCUAGAGUCCGGAAGAGGAGAGUGGAAUUCCGUGGUGGAGCGGUGAAAUGCGCAGAUAUCAGGAGGAACACCCGUAGCGAAGGCGGCACUCUGGGCCGGAACUGACGCUGAGGAGCGAAAGCGUGGGGAGCGAACAGGA
rnacentral:rRNA from 1 species